rnacentral:rRNA from 1 species
AUUCCCCUAGUAACUGCGAGUGAAGCGGGAAAAGCUCAAAUUUAAAAUCUGGUGGUCUUUGGCCAUCCGAGUUGUAAUUUAGAGAAGCGACUUCCGCGCUGGACCGUGCACAAGUCUCCUGGAAUGGAGCGUCAUAGAGGGUGAGAAUCCCGUCUUUGGCACGGACACACCAGGGCUUUUGUGAUGCGCUCUCGAAGAGUCGAGUUGUUUGGGAAUGCAGCUCAAAAUGGGUGGUGAACUCCAUCUAAAGCUAAAUAUUGGCGAGAGACCGAUAGCGAACAAGUACCGUGAGGGAAAGAUGAAAAGCACUUUGGAAAGAGAGUGAAACAGUACGUGAAAUUGUUGAAAGGGAAACGCUUGAAGUCAGUCGCGUCGACCGAGACUCAGCCUUGCCUUGGCUUGGUGUACUUCUCGGCCGACGGGUCAGCAUCGAUUUCGCCCCUUGGAUAAUGGCGAGGGAAAUGUGACACCUUUACGGUGUGUUAUAGUCUCUUGUCGCAUGCAAGGGUCGGGAUUGAGGAACUCAGCACGCACCUUUGGGUGUCGGGGCUUUGCCCACGAUACGUGCUUAGGAUGUUGGCGUAAUGGCUUUAAACGACCCGUCUUGAAACACGGACCAAGGAGUCUAACAUGCCUGCGAGUGUUCGGGUGGAAAACUCGUGCGCGCAAUGAAAGUGAAAGUUGGGACCUCUGUCGUGGAGGGCACCGACGCCCGGACCAGACCUUCUGUGACGGCUCUGCGGUAAAGCAUGUAUGUUAGGACCCGAAAGAUGGUGAACUAUGCCUGAAUAGGGUGAAGCCAGAGGAAACUCUGGUGGAGGCUCGUAGCGAUUCUGACGUGCAAAUCGAUCGUCAAAUUUGGGUAUAGGGGCGAAAGAC